rnacentral:rRNA from 1 species
UACAGAGGUCGCAAGCGUUGUUCGGAUUCAUUGGGCGUAAAGGGUGCGUAGGCGGCGCGGUAAGUCGGGUGUGAAAUCUCGGAGCUUAACUCCGAAACUGCAUUCGAUACUGCCGUGCUUGAGGUCUGGAGAGGAGACUGGAAUUUACGGUGUAGCGGUGAAAUGCGUAGAUAUCGUAAGGAAGACCAGUGGCGAAGGCGGGUCUCUGGACAGUUCCUGACGCUGAGGCACGAAGGUCAGGGGAGCAAACGGG